rnacentral:rRNA from 1 species
GACGAACGCUGGCGGCGUGCUUAACACAUGCAAGUCGAACGGAAAGGCCCUGCUUUUGUGGGGUGCUCGAGUGGCGAACGGGUGAGUAACACGUGAGUAACCUGCCCUUGACUUUGGGAUAACUUCAGGAAACUGGGGCUAAUACCGGAUAGGAGCUCCUGCUGCAUGGUGGGGGUUGGAAAGUUUCGGCGGUUGGGGAUGGACUCGCGGCUUAUCAGCUUGUUGGUGGGGUAGUGGCUUACCAAGGCUUUGACGGGUAGCCGGCCUGAGAGGUGACCGGGCACAUUGGGACUGAGAUACGGCCCAGACUCCUACGGGAGGCAGCAGUGGGGAAUAUUGCACAAUGGGCGGAAGCCUGAUGCAGCAACGCCGCGUGCGGGAUGACGGCCUUCGGGUUGUAAACCGCUUUCGCCUGUGACGAAGCGUGAGUGACGGUAAUGGGUAAAGAAGCACCGGCUAACUACGUG